rnacentral:rRNA from 1 species
UACGAAGGGUGCUAGCGUUGUUUCGGAAUGACUGGGCGUAAAGGGAGCGUAGGCGGUUGAGUACGUUUGGUGUGAAAGUCCUGGCUUAACCUGGGGACUGCAUUGAAUACGGCUUGACUUGAGGUAUAGAGGGGAAGAUGGAAUUGUGUGUGUAGAGGUGAAAUUCGUAGAUAUACACAGAACACCGUGGCGAAGCGAUCUUCUGGCU